CCUUGUCAUCAUCCCUAUUGUCAUUAUUUUUGCCUAAAUUCUAAACCUCACAAAGUAUUCUAAGUUGUAUCUCAACAUUCUCAACUUGAGAAUAUUUUUUCUUAUACCAUUUUGAUGUAUAACAACAUGAAACGACAAUUAUCUGCCAAAAUAUUUACCAAAUGAUAUAAUGCUGUCUCAAUAGUCUCCGAGGGUAGUUGUUCAAAUUCACUCUGCGAAAUGUACUGCUGUUUAUUGUACAGUCG